rnacentral:rRNA from 1 species
AACGAACGCUGGCGGCAGGCUUAACACAUGCAAGUCGAGCGCCCCGCAAGGGGAGCGGCAGACGGGUGAGUAACGCGUGGGAACGUACCUUUUGGUUCGGAACAACUCCGGGAAACUGGAGCUAAUACCGGAUAAGCCCUAACGGGGAAAGAUUUAUCGCCGAAAGAUCGGCCCGCGUCUGAUUAGCUAGUUGGUGAGGUAACGGCUCAACAAGGCGACGAUCAGUAGCUGGUCUGAGAGGAUGAUCAGCCACACUGGGACUGAGACACGGCCCAGACUCCUACGGGAGGCAGCAGUGGGGAAUAUUGGACAAUGGGCGCAAGCCUGAUCCAGCCAUGCCGCGUGAGUGAUGAAGGCCUUAGGGUUGUAAAGCUCUUUUGUCCGGGAAGAUAAUGACUGUACCGGAAGAAUAAGCCCCGGCUAACUUCGUG